rnacentral:rRNA from 1 species
GAUGAACGCUGGCGGCGUGCCUAAUACAUGCAAGUCGAGCGAACAGACGAGAGUGCUUGCACUCUCUGACGUUAGCGGCGGACGGGUGAGUAACACGUGGGUAACCUACCUAUAAGACUGGGAUAACUUCGGGAAACCGGAGCUAAUACCGGAUAAUAUUUAGCUUCGCAUGACGCAAUAGUGAAAGACGGUUCUGCUGUCACUUAUAGAUGGACCCGCGGUGUAUUAGCUAGUUGGUGAGGUAACGGCUCACCAAGGCAACGAUACAUAGCCGACCUGAGAGGGUGAUCGGCCACACUGGGACUGAGACACGGCCCAGACUCCUACGGGAGGCAGCAGUAGGGAAUCUUCCGCAAUGGACGAAAGUCUGACGGAGCAAUGCCGCGUGAGUGAAGAAGGUUUUCGGAUCGUAAAACUCUGUUGUAAGGGAAGAACAAGUACGUUAGUAACUGAACGUACCUUGACGGUACCUUAACAGAAAGCCACGGCUAACUACGUG